GUGGGCUGGUGGCUGCAGGGGCUGCCCCACUGGAGCUCUCUGCUAGUCAGAGGAGGCCAGCAGAUCAAGGGGUGUUCAGGUCUGACCAAACCUGUCUGAUGAGCAAGACACCCUGCAGAUAUCAGGUCCCUGAUCAACCAGUCAAGCCGUUCACCACCGCUCGUUUAAUUGAAUGCUCCAGUUCUUUUCAUUUCCGAAGUUAUGGUGAGAAGAACUAAGUGGAAAAUGAGUCUCACUCUUGUCACCCAGGCUAAUCUCAGCUCACCGCAGCCUCCACCUCCCAGGUUCAAGUGAUUCUCCUGCCUCAGCCUCCCGAGUAGCUGGGGUUACAGGUAAUGGAGUUCACAUUACCAUAGACUUUUCUUGAUGUCCAAUCUAAAUAAGAAAGCUUUAUUCUAAGGUACGUGAGAGCAGGGACUACGUCUGUUGUGUUUGCAAGUACCUCUCCAAUGCCUAACAUAGCGUCUAGCACAUGGGUGCCAUUUAAAGAAAUGUACUGAAUGAAUGAAUGAAUAAGAGAGGGAAUGAAGGAAACAAGUGAAUGAAACAUAAAAGUGGAACACAUCAGGUAGUUUUGUUUUAAACUGCUGAAAAAUCAAAUCUUGGAUGCACGCCCAAAGUUCGAAUACUUUUACCUAUGCUCCAACCACUUAGUGGUAGAAUAAGAUACUUACAUGGAUGGCAGUUCCAAACAAAUCAAGACCAUAUACAUUCAAGAGGGAUGGAAGAAUAGAUCUGAGGUCUCAAAUGGCUCUACUUGAAAAUUCAAGUUUUAUGUAAAUGAUGAAGUCUUGCUCUGUAGCCCAGGCUAGAGGACAGCGGCGCAAUCUUGGCUUACUGCAACCUCCGCCUCCCGGGUUCAAGCGAUUCGCCUGCCUCAGCCUCCCGAGUAGCUGGGAUUACAAGCGCCUGUCAACACGCCUGGCUAAUUUUUGUAUUCUUAGUAGAGACAGGGUUUCGCCAUGUUGGCCAGGCUGGUCUCGAAUGCCUGACUUCGUGAUCCAUCCGCCUCGACCUCCCAAAGUGCUGGGAUGACAGGAGUGAGCACUGUACCUGGACUAUUUGGGGAAUCUUUAAAAGGCAAAUCAUUCUAGCGUUAUUUGUGAUUUAAUUUUAUGGUUUGCUUUCCUUUAGUGAUGACAGGCAAACACGGUGGCAUGACAGAGUUCAGAUGAAGGAGAUAAGAAUUUGGUCAAGGGUGUUGAAGUAUCAUUAUAAAGUGGGAAGAAGUUUUUCUCCCCACUGAUUUUGCAUUUUUUCUAGAGCCAGCUCUCAAGACGAUAAUUUUAUGCAAGAAACACAGAGCUAAUAUGCUGCAAAUUACUUUGAUCUUCCACAUAGCAAUGUGACAUCAAUUAAACAUUAUUGAACUUUGAUAUAUACUAGAUACAGUUGUGAGAAAAUAUACAUUGCACUCUUAUGGAGUGUGUAGAGUAGUUGCGAUCUCUGUCAGUUUACAUAUAUAAUAAUAUAAAAGUUAAUAAAAUCAUAAUAAAUGCUACAAAAGAAUAAUACAUGAUAUUAUAAAAAUAUGGACUGGCAGCAUCAAUGAGGGCAUGUAUGAGAACAUAUAUAAUGGGGACUCAAAGAGAAAGUGUUCCAAAGUUUAACUUCUGUACCCAGCCUGCUUGUUUCCCUCAGAGGAUCUUGACAGAACUAAGAAAAAUAGGAUAUGUAAUGAGCUGAAAUAUUAUAUAGAUUUAUUAGUUCGUUUAGCAAGUAUUUAUUGAAGCUUUGUGCUGAAAAUAUGUGUCUCUCCCAUUUGACCCUUUCUUUUCCUUCCCCACGCCAUCCACCUUUCCUACCAUACAUCUCACACAUCUCAAUGAUUGCAUCUGCUUCCUACCUCAAUCUCUUUCCACUUCCAUGUAGCCCAUACAUGUUGGUCCAAUGAUGUUUUUGUAAAGCCAGUACUUAUGUUGUAUUUUAUGCAUUCUUUUGCUAUAUAGCACUAAUCUCACUGAAUUCUAUCCAAGCUCAAUAACAUUUGUCACACAAUGCUGGAACUCCUCUAAUAUUUUAUCUCCCUACUCUCUAUAAGAUCAGGUGCCGUUCUCAGCUUGGCCUUCUGGGAUUUGCACAAGUAUGACCUCAAACUCUUCUCUAAUUUUCUCACUCCUUUAUUUAUACACAAGUCUUCUACUUUCAUCAAACCAAUGCACUUCGAAUGCCUUUACUAGCUUUACUUAGGCCUUUUCUUUACAAAAAAAAAAAAAAAAUUAUCCCCACUAUUCUCUGUUUAGGUAAAUUUGACUCAGCUCUCUAGGUUUCAUCUAAAAUAAACUUUGCUUUCUAUAAACUAUAUUACAUUUUGUGAAGAGUUUGAUAUUAAGCACACACACAUGCAUACAUAUAUCUAUAUAGGCUUAUAUGUUAAAAUGUAUGUGUAUACAUUUGUAUCACUGGAGUAGUAGGUCUUUGAAAAUAAGAAUUUUCUUUUACUUGUAUAAACUCUAUCGUUUGAUACAUAAAUUUUUCAUAACAAUUUAUUGAUUGAUGAAUUUGUGGUGAUAUGGAGGAAAAGCAGUGCAAUUAUCAACUAUCCAAUGAGAAUGUCACACUCAACUACACUAUAUAAUAGUUUUUUUGUUUGCUUUUAGCCAGCCUUUAAUUAAAUUCUCAGAAUUGGUUUUCAGUAUGGUUCCCAAACAUUUAUCUGAUUCUGCUGUAUUUUGGAACCACUGAGAUGUUUAGACUUCAAAAAAAAAAAAAAAAAAGAAUACUAUAGUUGCAGCAUCUGGAAAUAAGCCUGUGAUUCUGUAAUCUAAUGCAUUCUGGGAUUUGCCAGAAUUGUCAUAAUUAGAAUAUUUUAAUAUUGUUUAUACCAUGAAAUUUUUUCAUUAAGUCUAUUGACCUCAUGCUAAGUUAGAAAUUAUUUUUAAUAAAUAAGAAUUUAU
rnacentral:lncRNA from 10 species